rnacentral:rRNA from 1 species
CCGGGACUGAGUUGUUUCGAGAAAAGCGGAGACUGCUGCUCUGAGCGUUUUCGGACGAUCGUUGCGGCGAGAACCGCGUUAAUCGAAACGGCUUGAACCGGGCAAAAGUCGUAACAAGGUUUCCGUAGGUGAACCUGCGGAAGGAUCAUUA